AUUGAACGCUGGCGGCAUGCCUUACACAUGCAAGUCGAACGGAAGCACGGGUGCUUGCACCUGGUGGCGAGUGGCGAACGGGGGAGUAAUACAUCGGAACAUGUCCUGUAGUGGGGGAUAGCCCGGCGAAAGCCGGAUUAAUACCGCAUACGAUCUACGGAUGAAAGCGGGGGACCUUCGGGCCUCGCGCUAUAGGGUUGGUCGAUAGCUGAUUAGCUAGUUGGUGGGGUAAAGGCCUACCAAGGCGACGAUCAGUAGCUGGUCUGAGAGGACGACCAGCCACACUGGAACUGAGACACGGUCCAGACUCCUACGGGAGGCAGCAGUAGGGAAUUUUGGACAAUGGGCGAAAGCCUGAUCCAGCAAUGCCGCGUGUGUGAAGAAGGCCUUCGGAUUGUAAAGCACUUUUGUCCGGAAAGAAAUCCUUUGCACGAAUACAGGCGGGGGAUGACGGUACCGGAAGAGUAAGCACCGGCUAACUACGUG
rnacentral:rRNA from 1 species